GAGUUUAUUAAAAUGUUGUGUGUAGAGGAAGUGAUUUUGAAUAAAGAGAGGAAAUGUUGAGAGGUUUAAAGUCUGGAUGACUCUGUGAUAAACUUCAUGAGCUGUUUUACACACAAACACACAACCAUGACUUCAUUCAUCUUCAUCUGGACACUGCUGAUCUUUAUUCAAGUUACAGAUUGUCAAGCUGAGAUCACAGUGAAUCAAUCUCCAUCAGUGACGACUGUUAAAGUAGGAGAGAAAGUCACUCUGAACUGCAGGACAAACACAAAUGUUGACUGUUGUUACAGCCAGGGUACUGCCAGAUCCGGGUCACUUAUGAGUUGGUAUCAUCAGAAACCUGGAGAAGCUCCUAAAGUCCUGAUAUAUCUGACAUAUAACCUUCAGUCUGGAACUCCAUCAAGAUUCAGUGGCAGUGGAUCAAACACAGAUUUUACUCUGAGCAUCAGUGAAGUUCAGACUGAAGAUGCAGGAGAUUAUUACUGUAUGAGUUUACACGGCAUCAGUGGUAGCUAUGUGUUCACACAGUGA